AGGGUACUAGUUACCUUGUUACUUUCACAGCCUCCUUGCGUGAUGAGAGCAAGAAUGUUGAGACCUUCGAAACACAUAUAUGUGUGCCUAGCCUCUUCCCAACUAUGAUCUUGAAAGUAAGGGAUAUCAGUCGCAGGUAAUUCCAACCGCAUCUCCCGUUAUUUUAAUUUCAUGCGCUCCUCAGUUUUUCCUCACACCUCUCUUCCUUCUUUUCUCGACUUUAAAUUUCUUAUUUUUUUAUAGUGAUAAUUGCUCCCUCCUGCUCAUAUUAUUAACUGGAAAUAAAUUAGAAGAUACAGUUUCAUCAAGGUAUUUUACUUAAUUUUGGGAGGACGACAUGGGAAACAUCAAUAUUUGUGGGAUUUCGAUUAACCAUUGAUCCAAACAAAGUGUCUAAUCUAACUAUCAGUCUUCUCCACUCACCACUCUUAUUGUUUUAUUCGUGUCACGUGGACUUAAGGUUGAAUUUUUUUACAUACAUGUGAGUUUGUUGUGGGGACUUGUGACUAUGCCUGUGAAUAUUAGCUCUGUUUUGACAAAAAAACCAUGGGAACAUGGCAUGCCCAACCCCCCCCCCCCACACGCACACACGCAUAUUUAUCUAUUUAUUUAUUUAUUUAUUUAUUUGUGUUAUCAUUAUGUUGUUGACUGUGGAAACAGAACCUCUGUGCAUUUCUUGGUUAAUUGAGGAUAAACAGUUCUGUGAUGAAUAUGAUUCGUUAGGUGUGGAAAAUGGUUAGAUAUUUCUAUUAGGGCAAUUUAAUUACACUGUGUGGCUAUGAGUCCAUAUUUCAUGUUUCGUUCACGGAGACAUGAUUUCAUGCUUUUAUGCCUUCGGUGUCAUG
rnacentral:lncRNA from 1 species